AGUAAGGUAAGCUAAAUAAGCUUUCGGGCCCAUACCCCGGCAAUGUAGGUUAAAAUCCUUCCGUUACUG
rnacentral:tRNA from 1 species